GACGAACGCUGGCGGCGUGCUUAACACAUGCAAGUCGAACGGAAAGGCCCUGCUUUUUUGGGGUGCUCGAGUGGCGAACGGGUGAGUAACACGUGUGUAACCUGCCCUUGACUUUGGGAUAACUUCAGGAAACUGGGGCUAAUACCGGAUAGGAGCUCCUGCUGCAUGGUGGGGGUUGGAAAUUUUCGGCUGUUGGGGAUGGACUCGCGGCUUAUCAGCUUGUUGGUGGGGGAGUGGCUUACCAAGGCUUUGACGGGUAGCCGGCCUGAGAGGGUGACCGGGCACAAUGGGACUGAGAUACGGCGCAGAGUCCUACGGGAGACAGCAGUGGGGAAUAUUGCACAAUGGGCGGAAGCCUGAUGCAACAACGCCGCGUGCGGGAUGACGGCCUUCGGGUUGUAAACCGCUUUCGCCUAUGACGAAGCGUGAGUGACGGUAAUGGGUAAAGAAGCACCGGCUAACUACGUG
rnacentral:rRNA from 1 species